rnacentral:lncRNA from 1 species
GGGAAGAGGGGUGGGUUGCAGGUAGAUAAAUUAUUGAACUACCAAAGACCAGGGGGUGACCAAGGUAAGUUUGAGGAUCUCCCCAUCCACUGAUUCUGAAUUUCUCUGGCUUCUCAGCUGCUUCUAGGCACUGCAGCAUGUGCGACAGUCAGUGGAUUUGGAUAUAUACUCAAAUUGGGAAAUAAAGGAAAGGCUCAUCUGUUUCCAUCCAGAUAAACUCUCAGAAGACAGACGUAUUCCAAAUAAAGUCUCAGCAGACAAAGAUUAUUAUCAUUUACUUGACAAUUUUUUUAAAAGAAGACAGAGAAGUC